rnacentral:misc_RNA from 1 species
GAAAGGAUUUGCAAUUUGCAAGCAUUGCCAAACAGUGUUUCAUGAAUUGAGGUCGCUAAAUUAUCUUUUUUGUUAGUCAAAUUAUAAAAGUGCAAUUAUAAGGAAGAGUCGUAAAACAGAUCAAAAGACUUCCUGGAAUCGAGUAUAGUAAAGAAGAGCAGCUACAAAAACUGGAAACUCUUAGAAAUCAAUUAAGACUGA